rnacentral:pre_miRNA from 1 species
UAAGUACUCCCUCCGUCCGGAAAUACUUGUCCUAGAAAUGGAUAAAAUGGAUGUAUCUAUAACUAAAAUAAGUCUAAAUACAUUCAUUUCUAGGACAAGUAUUUCUGGACGGAGGGGGUAUUUG